CCUACGGGUGGCAGCAGUGAGGAAUAUUGGUCAAUGGACGCAAGUCUGAACCAGCCAUGCCGCGUGCAGGAAGACGGCUCUAUGAGUUGUAAACUGCUUUUGUACGAGGGUAAACUCAGAUACGCGUAUCUGUCUGAAAGUAUCGUACGAAUAAGGAUCGGCUAACUCCGUGCCAGCAGCCGCGGUAAUACGGAGGAUUCAAGCGUUAUCCGGAUUUAUUGGGUUUAAAGGGUGCGUAGGCGGUCGGAUAAGUUAGAGGUGAAAUCCCGAGGCUCAACUUCGGAAUUGCCUCUGAUACUGUUAGGCUAGAGAGUAGUUGAGGUAGGCGGAAUGUAUGGUGUAGCGGUGAAAUGCUUAGAGAUCAUACAGAACACCGAUUGCGAAGGCAGCUUACCAAGCUACGUCUGACGUUGAGGCACGAAAGCGUGGGGAGCAAACAGGAUUAGAUACCCCUGUAGUC
rnacentral:rRNA from 1 species